rnacentral:rRNA from 1 species
UAGCCGUAAACGAUACUCGCUAGGUGUCGGCCACGGUGCGACCGUUGUCGGUGCCGUAGGGAAGCCGUGAAGCGAGCCACCUGGGAAGUACGGCCGCAAGGCUGAAACUUAAAGGAAUUGGCGGGGGAGCACAACAACGGGUGGAGCCUGCGGUUUAAUUGGACUCAACGCCGGGAAGCUCACCGGAUAAGACAGCGGAAUGAUUGCCGGGCUGAAGACCCUGCAUGACCAGCUGAGAGGUGGUGCAUGGCGUAGUCGUGU